rnacentral:rRNA from 1 species
GAUGAACGCUGGCGGCGUGCCUAAUACAUGCAAGUCGAGCGAACAGACGAGGAGCUUGCUCCUCUGACGUUAGCGGCGGACGGGUGAGUAACACGUGGAUAACCUACCUAUAAGACUGGGAUAACUUCGGGAAACCGGAGCUAAUACCGGAUAACAUGUUGAACCGCAUGGUUCAACAGUGAAAGACGGUUUUGCUGUCACUUAUAGAUGGAUCCGCGUCGCAUUAGCUAGUUGGUAAGGUAACGGCUUACCAAGGCAACGAUGCGUAGCCGACCUGAGAGGGGGAUCGGCCACCCUGGAACUGAGACACGGUCCAGACGCCUACGGGAGGCAGCAGUAGGGAAUCUUCCGCAAUGGGCGAAAGCCUGACGGAGCAACGCCGCGUGAGUGAAGAAGGUCUUCGGAUCGUAAAACUCUGUUAUUAGGGAAGAACAAAUGUGUAAGUAACUAUGCACGUCUUGACGGUACCUAAUCAGAAAGCCACGGCUAACUACGUG